AUGGCCGCUGGUCCCACGUGCAAGGGACUCUCUAUUGUUCUCUGCGUUAUGCCGGGGUUGGAGAGAAUUGUGGCUGACUUCUGCGCGUGUCGUGCUAAGGCUGACCUCUACAUAGUGCCGGGUCCGCCCACUCACGGGUCUUUUCUCCGGGUCGUCCGGUGCGCUCGCCUUUUUUCCGGGUCGUCCGGUGCCUUUAGUUUAGCGCUACACAAGGCCACUGACGCUGGGGCCGUGUGGAGGGGCGGGGCCGGUGGUCAGUUGCUUUGUGUUCCCUCGCUACUGGGUUCGCGUGGCCGAUGCACACGGCUGGCAACUGGACGUGCGAGCGCCGCGCGUUGGGUCCCUCGUGCGAGGCGUGCGUCGUCUCAGUGCACGUCGCCCCCUGCGCUGGUGGCAAACCCUCCCCCAAUCACCAAAGCCGCCGCACGCCUCCCUCCUUCCUCCUCGCCCGCACCCCUGCCGCGGCGCCCAUCCCUCCCAGCCCUCCCAUCUUCGCGUUUCUCCUCCUCCCAGAACUACCUCCCGUCGCUUAGGCUCCAUGGCGGCGGCCGGCUCGAGGCGAGCCUGGCGCAGGCGGGCGGAAGCAGCGGGGAGCAACGGAUGCGGGUGGGAGAGUGCCGGACGGCGCCGUCAUUGUUCAUUGUCGCCCCGCUAAGCCGCAUCGAAGAAGGACCAGGACCUCACCCCUCAACCCUCGUCCCUCUUCCCUUCUGGAUGCACCUCCCCGCAUGA
rnacentral:rRNA from 1 species